UUGAUCCUGCCAGUAGUCAUAUGCUUGUCUCAAAGAUUAAGCCAUGCAUGUCUCAGUACAAGCCGCAUUAAGGUGAAACCGCGAAAGGCUCAUUAAAUCAGUUAUGGUUCCUUAGAUCGUACCCACAUUUACUUGGAUAACUGUGGUAAUUCUAGAGCUAAUACAUGCAAACAGAGUUCCGACCGGAGACGGGAGGAAUGCUUUUAUUAGAUCAAAACCAAUCGGCGGCGGGCGUGUUCGCGCGCGCGUUCGCCGCUCAACCUGGUGACUCUGAAUAACUUUCGGCUGAUCGCACGGUCCAGCACCGGCGACGCAUCUUUCAAAUGUCUGCCUUAUCAACUGUCGAUGGUAGGUUCUGCGCCUACCAUGGUCGUAACGGGUAACGGGGAAUCAGGGUUCGAUUCCGGAGAGGGAGCCUGA
rnacentral:rRNA from 1 species